CUUCUGUCUGUUCCAGAGGCCCAGCUGAAAGCUAAAUGGGACAGAGCAGGUGCAGUUUUUCAGUGCCUUGAUUGUGGUGAAAAACAAGAUUUUUAAAAACCUGUAUGCUGCAAAACAUUUUGACACAUGUUGAAGCUGGUGAGACUUUGUGAUUUGUGCACACAUCGCUGGACAGUGAUGGACCUCUCACGGCAACAUUUAGCACUACAAGACCAGCAUCUGGAGACAAUGGAUGUUUUAUAGAAUAGACUUUACUGCUGCUGAUUACCAGGUUUGCGAGUGUCCGCUGCUGUGAAACUACAGAGAAGCCUGAUUUAUUGCAGCAUUUGCUGCAGUGACUGCGUAAUA